rnacentral:rRNA from 1 species
CCUACGGGUGGCAGCAGUGGGGAAUAUUGCGCAAUGGGCGAAAGCCUGACGCAGCGACGCCGCGUGAGGGAUGAAGGUCUUCGGAUCGUAAACCUCUGUCAGCAGGGAAGAACGGUCACUGUGCUAAUCAGCAGUGAAUUGACGGUACCUGCAAAGGAAGCACCGGCUAACUCCGUGCCAGCAGCCGCGGAAAUACGGAGGGUGCGAGCGAUAAUCGGAAUUUCUGGGCGUAAGGGGCUCGUAGGCGGUAUGUCAAGUCAAGGGUGAAAGCCCCGGGCUCAACGUGGGAACUGCCUUUGAAACUGGCAAGCUGGAGUGUGUGGGAGGAGAGUGGAAUUCCAGGUGUAGGAGUGAAAUCCGUAGAUAUCUGGAAGAACAUCAGUGGCGAAGGCGACUAUCUGGCACGUAACUGACGCUGAGGAGCGAAAGCGUGGGUAGCAAACAGGAUUAGAUACCCUAGUAGUC